UACGUAGGGUGCGAGCGUUAAUCGGAAUUGCUGGGCGUAAAGCGUGCGCAGGCGGUUUUGUAAGCCAGAUGUGAAAUCCCCGGGCUCAACCUGGGAAUGGCAUUUGGGACUGCAAGGCUGGAGUGCGGCAGAGGAGACUGGAAUUCCUGGUGUAGCAGUGAAAUGCGUAGAUAUCAGGAGGAAUACCGAUGGCGAAGGCAGGUCUCUGGGCUGACACUGACGCUCAUGCACGAAAGCGUGGGGAGCAAACAGG
rnacentral:rRNA from 1 species